UAACGCGUGCUAAAACUGCAAGUCGAACGGGCCAAAGCCGCAAGGCCGAGGCUAGUGGCGAACGGCUGAGUAACACGUAGGUGACCUGCCCCGAAGUGGGGGAUAACGACUCGAAAGAGUCGCUAAUACCGCAUGUGACCACCGAUCCAUUUCGGUGCUCAAAGUCGCAAGACGCUUUGGGAGGGGCCUGCGGCGGAUUAGCUUGUUGGUGGGGUAACGGCCUACCAAGGCGGCGAUCCGUAGCUGGUCUGAGAGGAUGGCCAGCCAGACUGGGACUGAGACACGGCCCAGACUCCUACGGGAGGCAGCAGUUAGGAAUUUUGCGCAAUGGGGGAAACCCUGACGCAGCCACGCCGCGUGCGGGAUGAAGGCCUUCGGGUCGUAAACCGCUUUUCUCGAGGAAGACACCCGACGGUACUCGAGGAAUAAGCAACGGCUAACUACGUGCCAGCAGCCGCGGUAAUACGUAGGUUGCAAGCGUUGUCCGGAUUUACUGGGCGUAAAGCGCGCGCAGGCGGUCCUGAAAGUCGAAUGUGAAAGCUCCCGGCCCAACUGGGAGAGGCCGUUCGAAACUUCAGGACUUGAAGGCGGGAGAGGCAGAUGGAAUUUCCGGUGUAGCGGUAAAAUGCGUAGAUACCGGAAGGAACACCAGUGGCGAAAGCGAUCUGCUGGCCCGCCCUUGACGCUCAGGCGCGAAAGCUAGGGGAGCGACCGGGAUUAGAUACCCCGUUAGUCCUAGCUGUAAACAAUGGGCACUAGGUGUUGUCGGUAUCGACCCCGGCAGUGCCGAAGCU
rnacentral:rRNA from 1 species